UACGUAGGGGGCAAGCGUUGUCCGGAUUUACUGGGCGUAAAGAGCGUGUAGGCGGCCACGCAGGUCCGUUGUGAAAACUGGAGGCUCAACCUCCAGCUGUCGACGGAAACCGUGUGGCUAGAGUCCGGAAGAGGAGAGUGGAAUUCCUGGUGUAGCGGUGAAAUGCGCAGAUAUCAGGAGGAACACCCGUGGCGAAAGCGGCUCUCUGGGACGGUACUGACGCUGAGACGCGAAAGCGUGGGGAGCAACAGG
rnacentral:rRNA from 1 species